rnacentral:tRNA from 1 species
GCAGCGGACUUUUAAUCCGUUGGUCCCGCGUUCGAGUCGCGGACGACCCACCA